UUUUCAAAGUUUUUUGCUUUAUUUUUUUUCUGAAAUUCUGCAUCUUAUAUUUUUUUUUAAGAGAAUAGAUAACACGCUAUAUGCUUUGUUCAAUUUUCAGAAAUAAACUCAUAUGAAAAUGUGAAACAGCUGGUCUUCGAACUUGGGACUUCUGAUACCGACCGUCAAGUUCUUAAUUAACUACGCUAGAUACGAUUGGUAUUCUGCAUCUUAUGUUACACUCUUCACGCUGUUUAUUUUUUGAAAAAAAAUUUCAAAUACCUCCGCGUGGUUCACCAUUUGUUCACUUUAGUACUCUACAAUUUAAACAGUAUUAUUUAUACUUCAUUUUAGAUUACAGGAAGAUAUUACGUGCGGUGGAAAGUAUGAUGAAAAAAUAUUCUGUUUAUUUCUAUAUAUAAUAUUUCUGCAGUCCCACCAAAAAAUACAAAAAUAUAUUUUUAUAUAUACUUUUGUCCUAACUUAUUGUUAUCUAUUAGCGUUAAAUGAACUUCAAUACCAAACGAGUUCUAAAUU
rnacentral:lncRNA from 1 species